rnacentral:lncRNA from 1 species
AUGAUGAAAUGCCACAUUCGCUUCAGUAAACAGACAUUUCAAAGUCCAAAGGAAACAAACUCAAAGAUGAAAACGUACUUCCAAGAAACCCUAUUUAUGUUACUUCCUUGGGAUAAAUUCAUAUUAAGAAACCGAAUACAUAUUGCCAAAUUACCCUCUCCAGAGGCUGAUUUUAUCACACUCCUACCAUGACCAAUGAGAGCAUGUAGCUCCACAACAACAGUGAUCAGCAAUCUGCAAAUCUAUCAGGCAAGAAUUACAUUCAUUGUUGUUU